GCCCGCUUAGCUCAGUGGUAGAGCGCGUCACUUGUACCUGACAACACUAAAAUCAGGGAGAUGAUGAGGUCGGUUGUUCAAUCCAGCCAGUGGGCA